ensembl:lncRNA
AAACAAACAAAACAACAAGACCACCAAUAGCAAAAGAAAACCACCGGCCCCAAACUUUCACCUUUCUUCUCAGGUAAGACCUGUUUUCUUACUCCACUCUGUGGGAAAACUAAGAAUACGUUAGCUUAUUUCCAACUGUGAUUUGCUAAACUGAAGCUAAAGAUGGAAGAAUUCCAAACCUAGGAGUCUGGACCCUCUCAAACUAUGACUGGGGCCAGGGAAACAAGGUACCAGACAUCAAAACUUUGGAUGCUUUUUUUCUUUUCAUGUAGUAACUGAAACUCGAGUUCAUCUUUCUCUGCUUCCACAUAAUACAAGGAAAGGCAUUUGAUUAGAUUAUGUGAGAUACUUUUUAAGGCAGAUGGAUUCAACACAUGGCUGCAGGACCAGGCUUUAUUAUCUCGACUAACGUGGACACAUUUUGAACACUGCUUCUCACUCUGCCAUCAGCCGCCACCACCUCUGCAGUACUGUGACAGCAAGAGAAAAAGGACAGGGAAGUGAUAAAGUUUGCACACGUAAGCAGAAAAGAACUUUCUGUCCAAAGCCAGCUGGCUUGGCUUGGCACUGAAGUGGCAUUUUAGCACAAGAUGACACGUUUAUGCGUGUACUGGAGCUAUGUUUCAAAACACUUGCCCUAGAUGCCACAGGAAGGGUCUGUGAAAUAGUUUAUCACCAAGUAACCAUAGAGAGCAGGUGAGCUGUCUGAAUACCAGUUUGUCUUCUGAGCUGGCAGACAAAUGAAACCACAGGAAGGAAUCAAAGCAAAUAUGCUGCUGCUUUUAAUAAUUAGAAUUGAGCGUAUUUUCAGGGAAGUUUUGGGAAAGCAUGCGAUAAUCCUAUAUCACAGCCAAGAGGACAAUACGUCCAUUAAUAAAUGCCUGAUACCGUUUGCUCUGAUACAAAACUCAGAAAUGCACACCAGCCAAUCCAUGUUAACACAGGUCAUUUCUUUAAGUCUUGUUUUCCAAAUUAGAGCAAACCCGCCAGCAUAAGAUGAAUGGGCAUCUUUGCCUUUACCUGAUAAAGUGCCUGAACGAUUAGGGAGGCUGAUGGCUUCUAUAAAUCCUUUGGGACACAGAUCAGUCAUCCCACGUGUAACCCCAAAGAAAUAACUGAAAAUAAAUCACAGCAACAUUUGUACUUUGGAGUCUGGAUACCAUCAUAAAAUGCCAAAAAUGCACCUUGUAUACUGCCCAAGUUUAAAGAUUAAACUUUAUUUCAGAAGUUAACUGCUAUAAAAGUUUCUUUGCUAUAUGUUGCACAUUAUAACAGAUCACGCAGACCUUCUGUGGGCUCUGUGUGUGAAGUUUACAAGACCAGGACAGUAGCAUAUGUCUCGUGUGCAAUUUGAUCAAUAGAGUUACAGCAAAACAGAUCAAGUCUAGGAAAAAUAAUGCUUAGAUUUACAUGUUAAGAGCAGCACUUGCUGUCUGCAGUGGGAGCCAAGGAUGCUCUGAGCAAGACACAAUUACCUGCCUUUCAAGAGUUCCACAAGUCAUUUGUCACGAGGUCCCACUAACUUCACAUCUACUUUAAAAAGCAGUUUGAAGACUUUUUAGGUAUUAUGGUCUCCUAUAUCUAUUUCUGUCUCUUUUGUUUCCUAACAGCAUGAGAUACUGACCACACAUACUGCAGUCAAAUAUAGAAAUUAAACCUACAGGAAAAAGGAUGUCUUCUCUUUAAUCUCUUGGAGAAUUUUCCAGACUAAAGCAUAGUUCUUAAAUUGAUAAUAUCCCUUUAAGAAUUUAUUUGCCAGGUAAUGUUAGAAGAAAAAAGAGAUUAGGGCUAGUUUGAACAUUAGAAAGGCCCUUUUUAAAAUCAAUUUCAAGUCUGUAUUAGAGAUGAGCGUUGUCUGAACAUGCUUCCAACAGAUAAAAUAUAUUCUGCACCUUAGGAACGCAAAUAACUUGAAAAUCCUUGAGACUCCCAGCUCUUUGCAAAAAGGUCAAACUCUAUCCUAAGAAAUAUUUCAUUGCAUAGAAAUAAUGGUUUAGUGUUGCCGUAUAUGAAAGUCAGAAUCUGUAAGGCUACGAAGUUAAUAACAGAUCAAGGGCUGAAGUUUUUGAAUAAUGUAGUAAAUAUUUCUUAAAUGAGUGAAAUGAUACGAUACCACGGGAAGAGAGAAAUGCGUUUUAAUAAAGAAAAUAUUGAAUGUAAGAAUAUUUCUUUAGAUCUACCAUGCAAUCUGUGUGUUCUCUAUGAGAUGUCAAACUACACGGUGCAUAUGUACACUGCGCUCUCUAUAAAUAUACAUGUGCAUGACAUAUUUCUGAAGGCAGUAAAUGAAUGCUGGGGAAAUACGGCAACAAUGAAGUUCCUAAGAGAAGGUUAGUUUUUCAAGUUAUUAAAAGAAGGUGGCAAGCAUUCAUGAGGAUAUGAAAAUUUAAAGCUGUCUGCAGGAAACUCUGAAAACCUCUGGUUAAGGCUGCUGCCAAAAAAUCUCAGCUAUGUUAUGUCAGAAUAUUUAAUUGCAAGCUGCAAUUUUAAUGAAUGGAAAGAUAUGGCAAAAGGAGGAAGUUUUCUGCAGCAACACAGAACAGCCAUGAAAAUAAAAUGCCAAAGGUUGUAAUCUUGGACGCUGUAGGAAUCAGGAAUUUCCAUCCACGUUCUGACUCCUUUUCCUACUGUGAGAGUUUGCCAGCUGCCUGGCUGAAGGGAGGUAAGCUGUUCUGGAUAUCAUCUCCUGGGCUCAAGGCAGCACUUGUUAUGUCUAUGUGAAGAAGUCAACUUCUGUGCAUUUGUUGUUACGGAUGUUUACCGAAAUGCAGCUUAGGAAUAGGAGAGGAAAAGCAAAUGUCAGAGUGCAUUAAAUAACGUAUUUUCUUUACUUUCCAAGAAGCUUGCUAGCAGCAUGAUGUUACUAUUUAUAACAGAUCUCUUAAACCCAGCUGUUGGUUCAUGUUAACAUGGAGAAUGGUGAGAAAACCCCAGCAGAAGAGUGUGAAUCCCAGAGAGACUUGUCUUCUGUCAUUGUGAAGACCUAGAAAAUAUCCCAAGUUUUGCUGAGGUAUGGAUCAGUCAUGCAGCACACGAGGCGUGCCAUGCAAAUAUUUCCUGUGGUGAUCUCUGGCAUUAGAAGGCCAGCAGCAACACAAAACAAGAAGUACCAAAUGCUGCAAGAAGCAGCUUCAGAUGGCAUAGCCUGAGCCUGUGGCUGGAAAAGUCUGAAAGAGAGAAAGAGAACUUCUACCUGUAACUCAAAACUAGCAGAUAUACUGUACACCCACAUUACAGCAUUCUUAGACAAGCUGCAUCUGAUCUAAUCUUAUGUACCUUGGCCACAGGUUCUGGAAAAACAAAUAUUCCCAAGGCAAUCGGAUUACUGAAUGUACCAUAUAACGAUGUGGAAAUAUUAGUGGUUUACAGAAGGCAGUUUAUGAAGUGGAUUGAGUGAAUUUAAUUCAUGCACUGUCAGGCAAUUUGGACUUAGAUAUAAUCAUGUUAAGAUUUCCUUAUUUUAGCUGUCUUUGGUGGAGCACCAGAGCCAAAUAGUAGCGUAUGAGCAAUACUCCCAACUACAGACAGACAGGUCAUGGGCAUUUGAUCCAAGCCAGCUUUGAGCAAGUGCAAAUCUGUGUCUGCACUGGGGUGGGGUGGGGGGGGGGUUAAUAGGGUUAUCCCAAGUAUUAGUGAAAAGGAACCAUUAUCUCCUCCUCUCUGGCUUCCUGAUCCGUAGGUAGGAGUCUCCCCUUCUCUUAUCCUUUGUUUCUCAUGAAAGUUCCCAUCCUGAAAUGCUACGAGUACAGUUUGGUUUUGUUGCAAUAAGUGGUCCUGUAAAAAAAAAACUUCAUUCACAGAGUACUUCCACCACUGUAAGUGAAACAACGUUAGGAAUUAAUCUAGCCUGUGAUUUUUAAGAAACCGUGUUCUGAAAAGCUUGUUCUCAGACCCUUCUUCCCUGUGAAGGAUAACUUAAUUGUUUGACAAAUAAGCUAAAGCUACAUAACAUUCCCCACUCAUCCAGUUUUAAAAAAUCCUGCAUUGUUUUUUAAUGCAAAGUUCACCUUUAGAAGCAUGAGAUCUAAUAUUCUUUUUCUCUAGAAUAAAGACAAAAAAAGCUCUUUUCUGGAAUAUAAGAAAUAUUUGAAAAGGAAGAGUGGGGAGCAGCCACGGUACUUCACUCUGGAGUGCUUUGUGAGAAGGUCUGAGGAUGUAAGUUAAAAGAGCAGAUACGAUUUUGGUGCUGCUGUCUCUAAAACGCUUUGAGUGGGUGGGUGGAAAUGCACUGGAAUAGAAAUGCACAGAAAAGCCUUAUUGCUGGAUGGUAACUAAAGAGCCUCGCAGUUGAACAGUCAAGAUUACGACUACUGUUGUCUUUUUGAAAUCAUUUUUUCCUUAUUGUUUUCUUUAUUUUCUGUUUUCUGGGUUUCCUUUUCCUUGUAGGAUAUCAUGGAAAUUACACUGGCAUGUUGUUUGGCCAGGGAAAGAGAUUUCAGAUGGGGUUCUUCAGUAGUUGCUUUUUUACUUCUUAGGAAUGAUCCUGGCAGAUCCUUGUGAUAAUUUCUCUAUUGUCAUAUUGGCACACAAGCAUGAUAUUCUCUGGGGCUUUUUUAUGUUGCUGCUUCUUUGGCCAGAAAUUAAUUGGUCUUAUAAAGAUGAUCUUUUUUUUUUCUCUUCUUCUUUCUUUCUUUAUUUUCCCUGUAGCGUGGAUUUGCUUUAGUCACUGACAGCUUUGCAUCCUUUGGAUUAUCCAGGUGUAUUUUGCCUUUGCAGUUGCCCUGGAAAUGAAACCUAACCCAGAACAGGGCCAUCACACCACACAGUGAUUUCAGUCAUUUUAAUAUAGAAAUCCUUCCGUGGUUUUAUUUGUGCCCACCCUGAGGAGUGAUGUUUUUCAUUUGUGCUGUUCUGACAUGUGAGAACAUCUGUGACCUACCUCCCACCUAUUCUUUUUCACUCGCUGUCCCAAAGGGGGUUGCAGAAGCAGAAGUAGCAGCAAACCAUUGGGUAUGGAAAACAACAUCAGUAAUUUCAAUUGGAUGCCACAUCUUGCACUUCCUUUUCUCAAUUGUUACAUAGGCAGCAUUUCAAUUGAGAGACGAAUAUGUUUUAGUGCUCUACUCUCCUUAACUAUUGCUUGCAAGGGACAUAUACAAAUCCCUUGAGCAACACAUGCUAUGCUUAUUUUUCUAGUGCCACUGAAACAGAGCAAUUAUUUAUCUCUUUGGCUUCCUGCUUUAUUUUUGCCAGCUUAGAAUAAUAUGAUUACAUAGUGAAAAUAAUCAAUGAGCAUAACCAGAAGUCCUUGCUCAGGGCUUGGUUAUUCAGGCUCCUACUGACUUUAGAACUUAAAGAAUUCGGGAUUUUAUCCAACGUCUUCUCAGCCUGUUAUGCUCAAGAGCUGAUUUCAUAGUAUUAAUUUUUAUAAGGGCUAUGGAUGAUAGAGUGAGGAACAAGAGCAUAAGCUACAUGCAUAUAAAAAUCAAUGCUCUUCGGACUGUUGGUGUUCAGAAAUGUAAGAAAGUGGUAUGUAUUUUCAUCUCUUAUUUAUUGCAGGUCAAUAGUAAUCAGCUUGGAAAUAUGACAGUGGGUGGCAGUGAUCUGUGUUUUGUGAUUACUUUCUCUCCCACACCUCCUGCUCGUUAUUUCCUAGAUCCAUGGAAGAACCUGCGUGCUGCUCUGAAGGAAAGGUGGAUGCCCUCACAUUAGGAGAUGGAUAAAUACUUUCCAAAUGAACUGUAUGAACACAUUGGAGGCUCAACGUGUUCCCAUCCAGCGGUGCGCUGAGCACGACUGGAGGUGGUGGUGUGUCACUUUCUGACCAUUUUGGGACCUGACUGUUUGUAGCCCAUCGGUGAGUCUCUGUUUUCCAGUGGCUGCAGCUCUAAUUCUCACGUCCCAGAGCAGAGCUGGGCGCUGCUGCCCCACAGAUACUGCUGUGGUGCUCAGCUCUG